ACCGUUUCUUAAAUAAGAGAUAUAAGAGCCGUCUCUUAGCUGGAAAGCGUAAAAAAAAUAUCAAAUCAUGAGUUAAGAACCCCCGCUAACAGACCGGGGUUAAUCAUGCCCUUAUAUUUUCAGUUACAAAAAAGCAUUAAUAUAUUAUUAACACUAGGUGCAUAGUCUCCGCGCAAGCGCGGGGUCGGCUACAUUAUAGGUGUAUUGUAUAGCUUUGUUUACGGGAUUUUAUUGUUUUUUGUCUAUAAUGUGAUUGAUGGGACUUUGGAUAUUACAUAAGUUGAUGAGUUUGAUAUAAGAAUGAACGAUGAAGUCAUAUGUUGAUAUUUUUAUAUCUUAUAUGUUCAAAGUUGUGGGUGAUGGAACUUGUUAGUGUUUACUUAGGUAGUUGUUUGUAUAUAAAUCAAAUAGUGCAUGGAAAAAGAUAAUAAACUUAGAUUUAAAAUGUUAGGGUUUCAAAAUAACUGGGCCUUGAAUCUGUGGUUUAGUCUAAUACUGAAAAAACUGUUAGGAUUUCAACUCCUUUUUUUCUCUAUGUCGGGAAUGUGGGCACUAAUUUCCCG
rnacentral:lncRNA from 1 species